AAUUCGAUUGAGUUUGAUCAUGGCUCAGGACGAACACUGGCGGCGUGCUUAACACAUGCAAGUGGAGCGACGAACCAGGGCUUGCCCUGGGGCAGAGCCGCGAACGGGUGAGUAACACGUGGGUAACCUGCCUCGAUGAUCGGGACAACCCGGGGAAACCCGGGCUAAUACCGAAUGUGCUCUCGAGCCUCAAGGCUCGAGUGGAAAGGAAGCUUCGGCCUCCGCAUCGAGAUGGGCCCGCGGCCCAUUAGCUUGUUGGUGAGGUAACGGCUCACCAAGGCUGCGAUGGGUAGCUGGUCUGAGAGGACGAUCAGCCACACUGGGACUGAGACACGGCCCAGACUCCUACGGGAGGCAGCAGUGGGGAAUCUUGCGCAAUGCGCGAAAGCGUGACGCAGCAACGCCGCGUGGGGGAAGACGGCCUUCGGGUUGUAAACCCCUUUCAGUUGGGACGAAGCUUCGGUCGUUAAUAGCGGCUCGGAGUGACGGUACCUUCAGAAGAAGCCCCGGCUAACUACGUGCCAGCAGCCGCGGUAAUACGUAGGGGGCAAGCGUUGUCCGGAAUCAUUGGGCGUAAAGAGCGUGUAGGCGGCCCGAUAAGUCCGUCGUGAAAGUCCAGGG
rnacentral:rRNA from 1 species